rnacentral:rRNA from 1 species
GAUGAACGCUGGCGGCGUGCCUAAUACAUGCAAGUCGAGCGAACGGACGAGAAGCUUGCUUCUCUGAUGUUAGCGGCGGACGGGUGAGUAACACGUGGAUAACCUACCUAUAAGACUGGGAUAACUUCGGGAAACCGGAGCUAAUACCGGAUAAUAUUUUGAACCGCAUGGUUCAAAAGUGAAAGACGGUCUUGCUGUCACUUAUAGAUGGAUCCGCGCUGCAUUAGCUAGUUGGUAAGGUAACGGCUUACCAAGGCAACGAUGCAUAGCCGACCUGAGAGGGUGAACGGCCACACUGGAACUGAGACACGGUCCAGACUCCUACGGGAGGCAGCAGUAGGGAAUCUUCUGCAAUGGGGGAAAGCCUGACGGAGCAACGCCGCGUGAGGGAUGAAGGUCUUCGGAUCGUAAAACUCUGUUAUUAGGGAAGAACAUAUGUGUAAGUAACUGUGCACAUCUUGACGGUACCUAAUCAGAAAGCCACGGCUAACUACGUG